rnacentral:rRNA from 1 species
AUUGAACGCUGGCGGCGUGCCUAACACAUGCAAGUCGAGCGGUAACAGGUGUAGCAAUACAUGCUGACGAGCGGCGGACGGGUGAGUAACGCUUGGGAAUCUGCCUAUUAGUGGGGGACAACCCGGGGAAACUCGGGCUAAUACCGCAUACGCUCUACGGAGGAAAGCCGGGGACCGCAAGGCCUGGCGCUAAUAGAUGAGCCCAAGUCGGAUUAGCUAGUUGGUAGGGUAAUGGCCUACCAAGGCGACGAUCCGUAACUGGUCUGAGAGGACGACCAGUCACACCGGAACUGAGACACGGUCCGGACUCCUACGGGAGGCAGCAGUGGGGAAUAUUGGACAAUGGGCGAAAGCCUGAUCCAGCGACGCCGCGUGGGUGAAGAAGGCCUGCGGGUUGUAAACCUCUUUCAGCUCCGACGAAGCGAGAGUGACGGUAGGAGCAGAAGAAGCACCGGCCAACUACGUGCCAGCCGCCGCCGUAAC